AAACAUCAUACAAUACACUCUCUUCUCUCUAACCUCUCUCUAAACUUUUCUCUUCUUAGAUCUUAGGCAUUGCUGCAAAUUUGAACUAAUGUUCUCAGAUUUGCACUAAUUUAAGCUUGUAUUUGACUAUUAGAGAUAAAAUCUUCAAACACCUCUCAUCUCUUUGAGGGUUUGUGAGAUUUUAGUUGGUAUUUUGAUGAUUUAAGUUGGUGUUUUCGUGAUUUUAGCUACAUUUCUCAGAUUUAUUGGUGUUUUUAUUUGUGAAUGGAGCUAGACCAAGAUAUAUUCUACAGGUUCUAUCUUUUAAGGUACGGGCUGCAAAUGGAAAGUUCUCAGGAGACAUUGAGGUUAUUCAACAAGUUAGUUUAAAGCUCUAAAAACAUGUCUGGUUGACAUCAUUUUGGUGAAAGGUGGAUAAAACAACCAAGGUGCUAAUGAAAUCAUUGAUGGAACGACAUUUGAAAUAUUCUUGAAAGUGGUAGAAAUUCUUGUAUGACUAGCUUUUUCUUGAUAUUAUGAAGUCUUAUUUUGCUAUCCAGUUGAAACAUAUGCCAAUGGAUGUAUAUUUUUCCCAUGGAUCGUAUUGUGAUUGAAUUUUUGUGCCUAUGGUGGAUGACAUUAUGACUUGCACAUUUUGUAUAUUUUGCGCCUAUAUGGUGGGUGACAUUUUGACUAAUAUAUUUUGUAUA